ACCGCCUCGGCUUCCACUACGGGGAGGAGGAGGAGGGAGACGCCGGAGGGGGGAGCUAACGGCGCAUGCGUAGCCUCUGGGCGGGACCGCGCUUGCGCGUUUGGGAGGACUAGAGCAGCAGCGGGACGGGGCUGAUGCGCUGUUGCGCCUGCGCGGAGGCAUAAAGCGAUACUCUUCAGUUAAUGCUACAUCACAGUUACUGCCAUAAUGACCUUCAUCUGGGCCAGGCAGCUAGAGAAUAAAGUUACAGAAAGACUGCAAAAAGGAUUGCAGCAAGAAAACAUGAUGUAGUCCUUCCUCCCUUUGCUGCCAGCCCUGAACUGGGUUCCUUACGUCCAUCAUACUCAUGUCACUUGGAAAGGAUGAGAAAUGGUUGGGAAGAGGCAGUCGUCAAUCCUGAGAAUAUCAGCACUGCAUGAGUGGAGAGGCGAUGCAGGGUCCAUUGCAGCAGUGAUGCACCUCAUCUGCACAGAAGAGGCAGAAGCUUGCUGGCUUCACAAGGGAGGCUCUCCAGCAUGGAACACUCUGGGACACUGCACAGCAAGUUUAAUUCUGAUUCAUGUUUUACAAUCAAAAAUCAUUUAG
rnacentral:lncRNA from 14 species